rnacentral:tRNA from 1 species
UGGCUCGCAACUCUAAGGCAGAGUACCUGGCUUUUAACCAGGGUGUAUGGGUUCGAUUCCCAUCGGGCCAA